UCUCUCUCGCUCGUUCUCGUGGACUCAGAACGAAACCAUCGCCUGCGUUCUUACGAUAUGGUGCAUGUGAGGAUUGGGAGGACCUUGUUGUUUCCAUGGCGGAAACGAGUGUUACUAGCUAGCUCUACCAAUCCAUGAAUGAGACCAUAAGCAACGUUCAAGAAAAAGAAGAUGUAGAAGAACCCCUCCAGGAUUACGAGCCGUGUUAGAACCUGUAGCUACAAUGCACAACGCCAGCAAGCCUCAGGAAAUAACAACUUACUCCUACCAAAGCAGGCACAUAGGUAAAACACAACAAGGCCAUGUUCUACAUUAUUCCUUGUGAGAUUGUAUUGUAGUUAUGUGAGAUCAUGAGAGCCCAUUCUAAAUUGUUGUUUUUUCUUCUUCUUCUUCUUCUUGUUCUUUUUACAGUUAUUUUUCCGGUAUGUGGACGUCUGAGAGAUUAGCUGGUCUCCUGAGAAAUCCAUCUGCACUCAAGCCAAAAAACCAGUCACAGUUUGUCUCAAGCCAAACGCAUUUAACCAGAAUA